rnacentral:lncRNA from 1 species
GGAGUUGUACAGGAAGGGUCUACUCCCAUUACAUUGAAUUUUUAUACCACGUUUUUAAAUAAAGAAAUAUAAAUGGUUAAGGAGAGGCACCACUUUCUCUGCUUGAAGAGCACUGUAGUCCCUAGGUCUUUCAAUCCGCUGUCGGAAUAAACCCAUGACUUAGACUGGGGUAGUCAAUCAUUUUUUGUCAUGGUCCAAAUAUCUUGAUCAAGGUAUAGUAAAGGUCCAGACUCCAGAGAACAUAAUAGUAAUAAAAAAAAUGAUGAUACUAAAUAAAUAAAUAAAAAGAUUUCUGGGUCCAUUCAAAAGCAUCUGAUGGUCCGGGUUUGGUCCACGGUCUGCCUAUUGACUACCCCUGACUUAGGCUGUGUAAUAUAUUCAUAUCUGGCUAGGAAAUCAUAAACCAGGUUUGAGUUUGGGGUGAGGGGGCAAACUAUGGCAUUCCACAGGUUUUCCACUGGACAGUAGAUCAUUUUUUUGUAGAGGAAAAUGGAAGGAUUUUUCACUCAGACUGUCCUAUUUCAGAAAAUGUUCUGACAUAUACAUUGUCUAUAACUACUACAAUUUAAGGCUUAGCCCUAAAUUUCCUGGACUUUUAUCAAUUUCUCCAGACGUUCUUUGCAUGUGCAUUUCCAGCAAUUCUUCAAUGCCCUGUUUUCAUUUGCAUAGUUCUCUGUGCUAAUAGAACAAGAAUUCAGCCAAGCUUUAAACUGCAUAUUAGUUCUCCUUAAAAUAUGCAUCAUUCCCUCACAGUAGCCCAUUAAGCACAGUAAAAUCCAUAUUUGCUUGACAGAUGGUAACAUUCCUUUGGAAUCGUUCUAUUCUGUCCUGCCAAUGCACUUACCAGGCUCAGGUUGAUCCAAGCAAUAAAAAUCCUUAUGAGGGAAAUGUGUUGCUAGUCUCAGACCAGUGCCCAGUGGACACGUGCACAUUACAAAAAACUAUCCCCACAGGUAGUACCUUGUUAGCAGCCAAGGACUGAAGUGGGAGAGAGUGAGCUGCAGAGGUACAAUUCUUACUGCUCAAAUGCCUGGUCCUAAGCCCAUUGAAGCUGAUUUCAAUGGGCUUUGGAUUAGGUCCUAGAAGAGUUUCUUUCUAGCCGUACUAGCAGCAUUAAGUUCCAAUGCACCAGCUGGGCCACAGAGACUGAGACAAAAGUAAGCUCAUUUCAACUUAUUCAAAAUUU